UUAUUUGCAUUACUCUACACGCUUUGAUUAACUGAUAGUUUUCACACAUUAUUAUUGUCUUUUCAUUUACUAUUUCCCAAACAAACCUGUACCAACUGUUAUCUGUAACCGGAAUGUCCCAGUACUAAAUUGUACACCUGUCCAAUCUAUAAGUCUGAUGACCGGUAACGACUGAUCAAAGUUAGAUCAAAGUUAGUGAAAAAACUGCUUCCAAAACUGAUGAUAUUGUUUUGAAUUUCAACAUCUAAAGGACUUUAACGAAACAUGAAAUCAUUCACAGUUCUUAUUGUUCUUAUGUUUGGUGUCGGAGCUGUACUUGGUGAGAUGUGUACCUGGCUGGUAUCCAACGUUAAGCUACUCUACAAGCCAGUACUGUGUUUGGGGCUGUUGCUAUACGUACAGCUAUCCCUGUUGUGAAGCAUCCAUCUACAGCGGCACUCCAUUCAUAGUUGGCAUGAGUGUAUCUGGAGGUAUCGUAGUCCUGGCGGUCAUCGUGGCAGUCUGUGUGAGACAACGUAGACGUGUGGUGACAAGCGUCCAGUACUCUAGCCCAGGGACGCAGAAUGUUUUUUCAACAUCAACCAGCACAAGUGUUACGUCAGGAUACAGCAACCCGGGCUUUGUCCGGACAUACUAGAGAUGCAAUAGUUGGAGAGAUCUUGGGAUAAAAGUGGAUUAGCGCGGACAAGGUUUUGUUGUACUUCAGAAAAGUGGACGUUGACAUUGUAGGAGUUUGAUGGCUAUCUCUCAGUAGGAGCCAAGUUUUAAAUUUUACAAAUAAUGUUUGUUGUUGUUACGUUUACAUUUUGAAAUAGAAGAGUGAAGAGGUAGCGAAUAAAUGAAGAGGGAAGAGGUAGCGAAUAAAUGAAGAGGUAGCGAAUAAAUGAAGAGGGAAGAGGUAGCGAAUAAAUGAAGAGGGAAGAGGUAGCGAAUAAAUGAAGAGGACAAUGUCAAAUCACUUUGGAUCACUCUUUAAUAGUUUCGGAAUUUUUAAGUUUUACUAUUUCAAAUAUAAUUACUUUCUUUGAAAUGAAGUAAUUAUAGUUCUUGUAACCUGAAAACAUUGUAUUGCAAUAUUGGAAAGGUUUGAUUUUUUAAAGUUUUCAAACAUUGUAUUGUAAUAUUGUAAAGGUUUGAUUUUAAAAAGUAUUAAAACAUUGUAUUGUAAUAUUGGAAAGGUUUGAUUUUAAAAAGUAUUAAAACAUUGUAUUGCAAUA